rnacentral:lncRNA from 1 species
GUGGGCCCUAUGUUAAUCACACACUGUCUCCUCAAGCCUGCCUAUAAAAUCUGUUGCUGUCUGCUGCAGGCUGGAUUUUUCCUUUUGGGAGCCCCUCUCUCUCACAGGGAGAGAGCUGUUCUCCUUUCUCUUUCUUCUUCCUAUUAAACCUCCACUCCUAAACUCACUCCUCUUGGGUGUCUAUAUCCUUAAUCUUCUUAGCGAGAGACGACAAACCCGGGGUAUUUACCCCAGACAACUACCCCGCUUCAUAUUGGGAAUCUCAGCCGGGAUCCCAAGGUACAUUCAUCGGAACGCAAUAAGUGGUAUAAUACUCUCUCAAGAUGCUUUGCAGUAGCAGCGAGCCACAGCUCCUAGUCAACCAGAUCAUCAGAAGAGGAAACAUGGAAUACUUGAUAUCUUCCUAAAGAUCACUAUGCCUGUUAAACCAUUGGUGAGUGUCACAUUCCUCAGCACCUUCUACCUGGUAUUCCUAACCCUCAUCAGAAGAGAAAGAAUCUGGGUACUCAUUCUUUGUUGCAACCCCAUCAUCCAGCAAUUAAUUUUAGUUCAAGUCUUCAAGCAUUCUUCAGACCUAGUGUGCUUUCUGCUAUGUAUGUUAAUGGCACACAAGAGAUGACAUUAAUAGAUGAAAGUGAGGCUACUCUUGCCACAUUAUCAGAAAGAAAUUUUGAGCAGCACUGACUUACAACGGGGAAGAAAAUACUUGUCUCUUAUUUGUUGCUGACUCAAAGGUCUGAUCCCCUGCCUGGAAGCUAACCUUGGCUAGAUUCCCAGAAUUGUGUCUUCUAUUCCCACAACCAACCUUUUUCAAAGACUUCAGAAGACUGAUCAACAUUUUUGCCUAUGUUGAAUGACUCACAGAAGCACACACUAUAUAGUAUAGUGAUUUUAUGGCCUUUCUUCUAAACCCAGACUUGCUUAGUUAUGUAUUCUUUAAUGGGCCAAGAGUGCUACAACUUCCACUAUGCUCUACCUGCAGCCACAGGCUCAGAUUUCUAUCAAUAAUUAAAUUUAUUAAAUGUAAUAGCCUUUAGCAAGCACCAAGUUUAGUUAGCUAAAGCUUAAAGAAAAGAACAGCCUACACAGUAUCCACAGCCAGACUAUAGUGGAAAUAUGUGAUCCCUAGACUCAGCUUCUGGUGUCCCAGUCAUUUUAUGCUAAGGAAUGAGGUUGAAUAUGUGCAGACAACCUCAGCUCAGGGAAGCCAAUAAGCUCUAGGGUCCCUUUAGCCUUUAAUAACAAGAUAAUCACAUAGCCCUUCGAAUAUAUAUGACUGGGAGUCCAUGACCGGCUUCCUUCUACAAAUGCAGUUGUGUGUCAUCAAAGCUGGUUUUUCCUUAUUUAAUAGACAAUGUUGACAGUG